CAGUCGCCGCGGUAAUACGUAGGUGGCAAGCGUUGUCCGGAAUUAUUGGGCGUAAAGGGCUCGCAGGCGGUUUCUUAAGUCUGAUGUGAAAGCCCCCGGCUCAACCGGGGAGGGUCAUUGGAAACUGGGAAACUUGAGUGCAGAAGAGGAGAGUGGAAUUCCACGUGUAGCGGUGAAAUGCGUAGAGAUGUGGAGGAACACCAGUGGCGAAGGCGACUCUCUGGUCUGUAACUGACGCUGAGGAGCGAAAGCGUGGGGAGCGAACAGGAUUAGAUACCCGCGUAGUCCCUGUCUCUCAUAC
rnacentral:rRNA from 1 species